rnacentral:rRNA from 1 species
AUGAGUGCUUUGAUUUAUGACUUGGAUUGUCGGAUAAUCGUUGACCUAAAAAUAUGUCUAAUUCAGGAGAGGCGAAUAGGGAGGAAGCUUGGGACUGGAACCAGGCGUAAUGGGCUAUGGUACAUGGAUCAUGAGGUACCCGAUAAUGCAUUGUGUACGGUGCUGGCAGUAAUGAUGGGAGAGAAAGAAGCUACAAUGAUGCUUUUUGAUUGUAGAAUGGGGCAUAUGUCUUUUGAUAAAAUGACUAAGGUCUUUCCUGAUGUAAUGUGUGGGGUGGAUAAGAACAAGUUUUUGUGUGAUGCUUGUGAGUUUGGCAAACACACAAGGACAUAUUAUGUGAGUAGAGGGAUUAGGAGUAUAUCUCCUUUUGUACUCGUUCAUUCAGAUGUGUGGACAUGUCCUGUUAUCUCUGUUAGUGGAAUGAAGUGUUUUGUUACAUUUAUUGACGGUUACUCUUGCAUGACAUGGAUAUACCUUAUGAGGCACAAGGAUGAGGUGUUCAAAUGUUUUCUGGAUUUUUAUGCUUAUGUGAAAAGUCGAUUCAACACACAGAUCCAGAUUAUUCGGACAGAUAAUGGGACAGAGUAUGUGAACAAGGAAUUUGGUUCUUUUAUGUCGUCACAUGGUAUAUUGCAUCAAACCUCAUGUCCACAUACACCUCCUCAGAGAAUGGAGUGGCUGAAAGGAAAAAUCGUCACAUCUUGGAGGUGGCUCAAUCAUUGA